rnacentral:lncRNA from 10 species
CUCGCCAGAGCUUCCAAUAGUGUGUUGAAUAGGAGUGGUCUGCUGGAGUUUGCUGGAGGUCCACUUCAGACUCUGUUUGCUUGGGUAUCACCAGCGGAGGCUGCACAACAACAAAGAUUGCUGCCUGUUCCUACCUCUGGAAGCUUCAUCCCAGAGGGACACCCACCAGAUGCCAGCCAGAGCUCUCCUGUAUGAGGUGUCUGUUGGCCCCUACUGGGAGGUGUCUCCAGUCUGGAUACAUGAGGGCCAGGGACCCACCUGAGGAGGCAGUCUGUCCUUUAUCAGAGCUCAAAUGCUGUGGUUGGAGAACCGCUGCUCACUUCAGAGUAGUCAAGCAGGGACAUUUAAGUCUGCUGAAGCUGUACCCACAGCUGCCCCUUCCCCCAGGUGCUCUGUCCUAUGGAGCUGAGGUAGGCUCCACCCAGUUCGAUCUUCCUGUGGCUUUGUUUACACCGUGUGGGUAAAACCACCUACUCAAGCCUCAGCAAUGGUGGAUGCCCCUCCCCCCACCAAGCUCCAUUGUCCCAGGCUGAUCUCAGACUGCUGUGUUAGCAGCAACAAUUUCAAGCCAGUGGAUCUUAGCUUGCUGGGCUCCAUGGGGGUGGAACCCACUGAGCCAGGCACCAGAGAGAAUCUCCUGGUCUGCUGGUUGUGAAGACCAUGGGAAAACCACAGUAUUGGCCAAAAUGCACUGUUCAUUCUGGUACAGUCUCUUAUGGCUUCCCUCGGCUAGGAAAAGGAAAUCCCCUGACCCGUUGCACUUCCUGGGUGAGACCCACCUCACCCUGCUUUGGCUCACCCUCUGUGAGCUGCACCCACUGUCCAACCAGUCCCAGUGAGAUGAACCAGGUACCUCACUUGGAAAUGCAGGAAUCAUCCGCUUUCUGCCUUGAUCUCGCUGAGAGCUGCAGACCAGAGCUGUUCCUAUUCAGCCAUCUUGCCAGCACAAAAACUAUUAUUGAGUUUUAAGAGUUCUUUAUAUAUUCUGAAUAUUAAUUGUCAGAUAUAUGAUUUGAAAAUAUUUUCUCUCACUCUGUUGGCUGCCUUUUUACUCUGUUGAUGUUGUUUUUUCAUGCACAAAAUUUUAUGAAGUCCAAUUUUUGUAUUUUUUUUCUUUUGUUGAGUGUGCCUUUGGUGUCAUAACCAACAAAUACAAUAGUGUGAAGCUUUUGUCCUACAUUUUCUUCUAAGAGUUUUAUAGUUUUAGAUCUUACAUUUAGCUCUUUGACCCACUUCUUUUUCUUGUUUUGUUUUGUCUUGUUUUGUUUUUUGUUUUGAGACAGGGUCUCGUUCUGUCAUUCAGGCUAGAGUGCAUUGGUACGAUCUCGUCUCACUGCAACCUCUGCCUCCUGGGUUCAAGCAAUUCUCCUGCCUCAGCCUCCCAAGUAGCUGGGAUUAUAGACACGCAUCACAAUGCCCAGCUAAUUUUUGUAUUUUAAUAGAGAUGGGGAUUCACCAUAUUGGCCAGAUUGGUCUCGAAUUCCUGACCUCAGGUAAUCUGCCCACCUCGGCCUCCCAAAGUGCUGGUAUAACAGACGUGAGCCACUGUGCCCAGCCUUUGAUCCAAUUUGAGUUCAUUUUGUAUGUGAUGUUAUGUAAGGGUCCAACUUCAUUCUUGUGCAUGUGGAUAUGUUUGAGAUACCACCUCACACCUCUUGGAAUGACUACCAUUUAAAAAAGCAGAAAAUAACAGGUAUUGGUGAGCAUGUGGAGAAAUUGGAACGCUUGUUUUGAUGAGAAUAUAAAAUGGUACAGCUGCUGUGGAAAGCAUUAUGGUGGUUCCCCAAAAAAUUAAACAUAGAACUACAUAAUCCAGCAAUACUAUUGUGGGGUAUAUAUCCAAAAGGAUUGAAAAUGGAGUCUUGAAGAGAUAUUUGUAUAUCCAUGUUCAUAGCAGCAUUAUUCACAAUUGCCAAAAUGUGGAAGCAACCCAGAUGUCCAUCAGUGGAUGAAUAAACAAGAUAUCACACACACACAUACAUGCACACACACACACGCACAAUCACACACAAUGGAAUACUAUGGAAUACUAUUCAACUUUAGAAAAUAGAAUGGUGGUUGACAAGGGUUCAGGAGAGGGUGAAAUAGGGAGUUAUUGUUUAAUGGGUAUAGAGUUUGUUUUACAAGAUGAAAAGAUAUAUGGAGAUACUUGAUGGUGAUGGAUGCACAACAUGAAUGCACUUAAUAUCACUGAAAGGCACACUUAAAAUGGUUAUAAUGGUAAAUUUUAUGUUAUGUGUGUUUUGCCAUGAUCAGAAAUUGAAAAACAAUCCAUUGUAUUCCUAUACACUAGUAAUGAAUAAUCCAAAAAUGCAACUAAGAAUGCAAUUUAAUUUACCACAGCAACAAAGAGAAUAAAAU